UACAGAGGGGGCAAGCGUUGUUCGGAAUUACUGGGCGUAAAGGGCGCGUAGGUGGUUCUGUGUGUCUACCGUGAAAGCGUACGGCUCAACCGUAUUUUGUCGGUAGAAACUGCAGGACUUGAGGCUGGGAGGGGCUGGUGGAAUUCCCUGUGUAGCGGUGAAAUGCGUAGAGAUGGGGGAGAACACUCGUGGCGAAGGCGGCCAGCUAGACCAGUUCUGACACUGAGGCGCGACAGCGUGGGGAGCAAACAGG
rnacentral:rRNA from 1 species